rnacentral:rRNA from 1 species
AAAUUGAAGAGUUUGAUCAUGGCUCAGAUUGAACGCUGGCGGCAGGCCUAACACAUGCAAGUCGAACGGUAACAGGAAGCAGCUUGCUGCUUUGCUGACGAGUGGCGGACGGGUGAGUAAUGUCUGGGAAACUGCCUGAUGGAGGGGGAUAACUACUGGAAACGGUGGCUAAUACCGCAUAAUGUCGCAAGACCAAAGAGGGGGACCUUCGGGCCUCUUGCCAUCAGAUGUGCCCAGAUGGGAUUAGCUUGUUGGUGAGGUAACGGCUCACCAAGGCGACGAUCCCUAGCUGGUCUGAGAGGAUGACCAGCCACACUGGAACUGAGACACGGUCCAGACUCCUACGGGAGGCAGCAGUGGGGAAUAUUGCACAAUGGGCGCAAGCCUGAUGCAGCCAUGCCGCGUGUAUGAAGAAGGCCUUCGGGUUGUAAAGUACUUUCAGCGGGGAGGAAGGUGUUGUGGUUAAUAAC